GAUGAAGAACGUAGCGAAAUGCGAUAAGUAAUGUGAAUUGCAGAAUUCAGUGAAUCAUCGAAUCUUUGAACGCACAUUGCGCCCCCUGGUAUUCCGGGGGGCAUGCCUGUUCGAGCGUCAUUUCACCACUCAAGCCUCGCUUGGUAUUGGGCAACGCGGUCCGCCGCGUGCCUCAAAUCGACCGGCUGGGUCUUCUGUCCCCUAAGCGUUGUGGAAACUAUUCGCUAAAGGGUGUUCGGGAGGCUACGCCGUAAAACAACCCCAUUUCUAAGGUUGACCUCGGAUCAGGUAGGGAUACCCGCUGAACUUAAGCAUAUCAAUAAGCGAGG
rnacentral:misc_RNA from 1 species